AGGAUUCGAUUCUGGCUCAGGAUGAACGCUAGCGGCAGGCUUAACACAUGCAAGUCGAGGGGCAACGCGAGUAGCAAUACUUGGCGGCGACCGGCGCAAGGGUGCGUAACGCGUGAGCAACAUGCCCGUAUCAGGGGGAUAAUCCAGGGAAACUUGGUCUAAUACCCCAUAGUAAUUUUGUAAGGCAUCUUAUAAGAUUUAAAGCUUUGGUGGAUACGGAUUGGCUCGCGUGACAUUAGCUGGAUGGUAAGGUAACGGCUUACCAUGGCUAUGAUGUCUAGGGGUUCUGAGAGGAAGGUCCCCCACACUGGAACUGAGACACGGUCCAGACUCCUACGGGAGGCAGCAGUGAGGAAUAUUGGACAAUGGAUGGAAAUCUGAUCCAGCCAUGCCGCCGUGAAGGAAGAAGGUCCUAUGGAUUGUAAACUUCUUUUGUAUGGGAGCAAUAAGGCCUACGUGUAGGUUGAUGAGAGUACCAUACGAAUAAGCACCGGCUAACUCCGUGCCAGCCGCGGC
rnacentral:rRNA from 1 species